rnacentral:misc_RNA from 1 species
UUCAGGAACACUGAAAGGA